AAAAAACAAUGCUUGUACAAGUGUGAACACCUCAAAUGAUACUUAGGAAUAAUAAGUAAUUAAAUUAACAAGUCCGUAACUACACAAGGAACUACAUAAUAGGGGAUGUCAACAGAGACGAGAACGAGACAAGACAGUACUUUACAUGACAAAGAUGGAAGAACUCGGUCAUAUUACACAAAGAGUAGUCAAUGCCAAAAAAAAGAAGUGAUAUAGAUCGGGGGUACAGAAAAUAAAACAAAAUGAUGAGCUGCAUGUGGGAUUGAGAAGAAGAUGAGGAAAUAGAAAUGCGCAUCAGUCACAACAUUUAUGUACUGGAAUAAGAUCACAGGCCAUGCAAAGCUGCUCCGUCCUACCAGGAUAUAUAGCCCUUAUGGAUAUAACUCCAAGCGCAAUCGUUUUUUUAAUGUGUAUAUAGAAGUCCCUCGAUAUAUUCAUUGGACUUCACUAUUGGGCACUGCGUCUCACUCUCUGUGUUUCUGUGAUAUUGACAAUGUCCGGGGAUUCAAUACUUGGAUGGUUUAGGAUGUUCCUGUCACUUACUCUGAUAUGGAUUCUUUUAUCUACAACAGUUGAAUGUCAGGAGUGUUCUACAUCAGGGUUGAAUGUGUUUGGCGGCUAUCAGUAUGUCUUCUACCAUGGGGGCCAAAGGAUAUUCUCUGCCACACGUGCAUUUUGUCAAGGCUUAGGGGGUGACAUGCCAAUCAUUACAUCAUCUGAACAAAAUGAUUUCAUAGCCGGGAAAUUAUCAACAAAUAAUAAUAAAGGUCACUAUUACAUCGGCUUAGAAGACUUGGAUAAGGAUGGUACAUACAGAUGGAUUGAUGGAACGGACUCUGGGUAUGUAUCAACUAUCAUCGUUAUAUAAUGCAAUUAAUUUUCAAUUCGUUU